rnacentral:lncRNA from 1 species
GUUCUUCCGCCAGCGCCCAUCGUGAAGACCACAGUUUCCUGUCGCGUGGAUGUGUUUCCUCUCUGGCCAUUGCCAUCCGCCCAAAUCUACAGACAUCCCGCAUGUUCCCGGGCUCGUCUCCCCAAUACAGGGCACCAAGCAUCCUACCAAGGCGAAUCCAUUGACCAGGAUUUAAGUUGAGACUCCCCCAGGACCCCGGGUGCAGCAUCUGGGUCCCCCUGCCCCGCCCUGCCUUGCGCCGCAGCCGCUUCCGUUGUCCUGCCAGGCUGUAGACUGCGCAGCCCUCCUGGAGACAGAUGGAAGCUCCUUGGGUCGACAGAUUACAGCUUCUGGAACCCCCUACUCCCUUCAACUCCGAGAUGGACACCCACUGUCCAGGGAGAGGAUGCCUGGAAAUAACAGCUGGGAUCUACAGUGGCCAAAGAGUUGUCUCCGUCUUGCUACAUCGACAAACUGGUGCUCCUGAGUGAGGAUUGUGCCCUGGGAUGGGGGAUUCAGUUUCUUCAUUUAUAGUUGGAAGUGGGUGAAGCCACUUCGGAAGCGUUUUCCUCUCCACUCUGACAACAGGCAAGAGUGAGGGUCCAACAAUACAGAGGAAGUAACGUGUCGCUGCUACUCUUCCAUGCCCAGUGCCAGGAGCGACGGUACACUCCAGAGUGCUGUGCCCUGAUGGGCCUUUGAGUGGCCAGUGCAGUGGAUCAUCAGCCCUGUCUCCCAAGAGCUCCAGUCCCUUCUCCGGAGAGGAAGUGGGUCCACUGGCAGCUCAGGAGGCCAUAGCAGGAUUGUCACGUGUGCUCAACAGUCCUCCUCGGCUUUCCAGAAGAGGCUGGAACAGGGCCCUUGAAGAUGUUUGUGGACAUCAGAGGGCCAAAGACGACACAAAGUGAAACUGGAGACACCGCCCCCCCUUGGCAUCAUGAAACUGCCGAUGUUACUGGCUCAUGCAUGGGAGACACCAGCAUACAAAGUCUUGACACCAACACCUCAGAGGGCUGUGUUCUGUCCCCGUGACCAUCAUCUAGUGCCUGGAAAGACUAGUGACAAGAACUUGUUGCCAACUUCCUAUUACCUCCCUAACAGUUGUGCAAUAAACCCCAUAGGUUAAUUCAGUCUGCCUUUUAAAUCUGUGUCAACCCAUGAAUUCAGGGCUAGGUGUGGAAAAGGAGGCUAGCUCCUGACACGCCUGUGACUUUCCUGUUCUUAAUGCCCCCUGAGGCUUGGGCUUCAGGGUGUUGGGAGUGGACAAGUAGGGCUGGUAGUCUAUAUGAUUUUAGGGCUUGUGAGAGUUGAGAUAGCUGAACAGAGAAGGUCAGAACUUGGGGAAGGUGCCUGUGUCAAUAAAAAAAGGCUGGGGUGUCACAGUCCUAGGAAGUGACGUAUCAUUGCUGAGAACUAGGGGUGUGAAUGGGCAAAUGGACUGGAAUAUAAAAUGUAGAGCAUUUUCCUGACAGGACAGGUUGCUGUAGACAGGAACGAGGGUAUGCUCAGUGACUGGCUUUGGAGGACCUUAAGGAACAGAAGUACUCUGGGUGGGGUGGAAGAGAAGAAAUGCCCUUGAGUGACUUGGAUACCAAUAGGGCCAAAGAGAAACUGGUAAAGAGGGUGUAAUUACUGAUGGAUUUAUAACUAGGACUUUUCUAUUGGAAGUGAAGGACCUGGGGAAGGCUUGGUAAGGCUGCUUACCAAGCUUAGAUCCCAGAACACAAACAGGUAAAUGGUACAUUUUUAAAACUAACACAUUUUUCUUGUCUGAGAAUUUCUAAAUUUUGAUUUUUAAAUUAAGUCUGUGUAGGGAGGUCUGCAGUUCACAGAAGGCAUAUGAUCACCGGACUGGGUGUUAGAGGUGGCCUUGAGCCUCCUGACAUGAAUGCUGGGGACUGAACCCGACCUCUGCAAGGACAGAAUUCAUGGACCAUCUCCAGGCCAGUGAAGAGCUUGAUAGCAGGCUGUAGGUGUGGACAGCUACGGUGCCCCUGGACUUGUGGGAACACCAAAGCUAGGGGUUGGUUUGUAAGGGGUUCGAGACAGGGUUUCUCUGUAGCCCUGGCUGUCCUGGAACUCACUCUAUAGACCAGGCUGGCCUCCAACUCAGAAAUCUGCCUGCCUCUCCUAAGUGCUGGGACUAAAAGCAUGUGCCACCACUGCCCGGCCUAGUUUUUUAUUUCAGAGAAAGAUUUUUGGAGUUAUUCUGAGUGGGGUGGUCUUUCCAUUCUGAGAAGGUAUUAGCUAAGAUUUGUCUUGAUACUUUUGCAGUUUUUUUUUUUUAAAGAUUUAUUUAUUAUUAUAUGUAAGUACACUGUAGCUGUUUUCAGACACCCCAGCAGAGGGAGUCAGAUCUCAUUACGGAUGGUUGUGAGCCACCAUGUGGUUGCUAGGCAUUGAACUCAGGACCUUCAGAAGAGCAGUCAGUGCUCCUAACCGCUGAGCCAUGUCUCCAGCCCCUUGUAGUGGUUUUUAAGCAUUCUAGAUAUCUGGAAUUUAAGCUAGAGAUGGUUCUAGAAAAGUUCUUGAAUUUUUAUGUGACAACUUCUAAUGUUACUGGGCCUCAUGAUGGAUGCUUACCAAGGCUGGGAUUGACAGUCAUUUAUCUUUAGAUUUUGGGUGUUCCCAUUAGCAUUGGUUACUAUACAAAUUUAUUUAAUAGAGUCUUGAAUGAUUAAGGAAGAGAAUGGAGCCCUCUACUGUUGGUUGGGAAGAACGUUAACAUUGGUACUGAAAGAUCCUGACAGAAUGUAAAAGGUCACAGAAGCCCUGAAAUUGACAAAAUAGAUUUCAUUGUUAGUAGAAGUAGCUUCACUGAUUUAGAAAAACAGAGGUGCACAGUGCUCUGGCCCCUUCUUGAAUCUGUGUCUGAAUGUUCUGACCGUUCCUUGAACCCAGCUGUGUGUCCACUGCUGCACCUCACUGCCAGGUGUUUGUGAUAUUGGUUGCUAAGAUAGAGUCAGAAAAUCUCCCCAGCAUUAGACUCUCCUUGUUUCCCUCCCAUACCCAUUUCUUAAGAAAUCAAUCAUUUUACAUUGUUUAGAUCUGGAAAUCCCCUACUCCCCUCUUCUCCUUUCCCCCCUGAGGACCUAUAAAAACUGGGACCCCUUUCCCCUCGGGGUCAACUCCUCUACCCCUGAGUGGGAUACGAGUCGUCCCCCGAGUUCUGGCUUUCCCCAAAUAAAGCCUCAUGUGGUUUGCAUCAA